ensembl:lncRNA
UUUUUUUUUUUUUUUUUUUUUUUUUUUUAAUGUAGGGAUAUAAGCUAAUGGACUUGCAUUUAUGUUUGUUCAAGGAUGUAGGAAUUGCUUGAUAACCUCAAUAGUGGUUUAUCUGAAUAGGAGCUGUCUACCCAGAAGCACAUCAGAUAUGUCUUUGCAGCUAAAGUCAAAAUGCAAGUUUGAUCUAGCACCAUUAGGAUUUUUUUAAAAAGCUUAAAGAAUGCUUUCAUGUUUGAUUUACUAUAACCUGCAUUUUAAAAGAUGCAUGGAAGUCACACUUUGAGUUGUUACAAUCACCAUAGUGUGUUGAUUUUUUCCUUUCUGGCCUGUUAGAUUUUCAAGGGUAAUGUGAGUAUUCAUUAGGGAAAUAUGCUCUAGGUCUGUUUAAAAUAGAGAUGUCUUUAGGUUUUCUUAUUAUUUAGUGUUCCGGUAUCGCAAACUUUUAUUUUCAGCACCCACUGUUAUGUGUCAAACUGAAUGAAACAUGCCUUUCCUGACAACAUCAAAAAUGUACAAAGAAUUGUGGGAAUGAAUUGUCCAUUCUUGUUCAUUUCAUCAACAUCACGUGUCAUCAGCGUGUUUGUUCUUCAGCUGUAACACCUCAUUUUGAUGCUUCCACUUAGGAAAAAUUCUGGUGGUUUAUUUCCCUCAAAAUUAAAAGGGACUUGUGCAUAUUAUUUUAAAGGUAAAACAAUUUUUACUGUAUAAGAAGUAUUAUAUAAUGUGUCAGGAAACACACAAACCCCAACAAUAACUCAUCAUUACAGUAGUUCAAAGCAGUUUGUUCAAAAGGUUGGCUCACAGCAAAGCCAAACCUAAAUUCUGAUCCUGACUUGGGUCUGUGUGACCUUGGCAGGGCUAGUGACUCCUUGCUUCAACCUGUUUAUAUAAGAAAUGAGAUUAGUGGUUUUCAGACAUUUCUCAAAGACUGAUGUAGCAUUUGAGAAUGUCUUGGGAUCAAAGUAUCCAAUGAUACUUUGUUUCACUGGAUUCUCCUAUAGGCAUGAAUCAUACACCACUUGAAGCUCGUAUGCUAGUUUUCCAAUCUUUCUUUGUAAUGGGUAUAUCAUCUUUAUCUCCUGCUCUAAAUUAGUUCUAAGGAACAUGAAGGAGGAAAGGUUCCUGUGCAUGCUAUUAGAACAGUUUUCCAAUAGAGGAAAACAACAAAAUUGGGCAACUGGGUGCUGUUUUUAUUUGAUGACACACUGCAUCCUAUUUUGCCUUUCAAAAAAGAAAAGUAUUUUAAUAUAAGCUAAUCCACAUUUGGUGGUUUUUCCCCAGGAAAAAUAAAGGUUUAUAUCCUAAAACCUCUAGGUUUUCCGCUUUGAUCAUCAGCCUCUUAAUCCUGUCCUCUUCUUUCCAUUUGCUUCUAUAUGGUCUGGGGACUCUGCCUCGCUGAUACAUUUGUGUGAUGCAUAUUGAGUAUAACUUACCUGAAAAUAAAUGUUAGCUACUCCCUUUUUCACCUUCGGACAAUACAAACUAAAGAUGUUGCUAUUAUAUGAUUGUAAAGUCCUCUGCCCAAAUUAAGGUGCAAAUGUGACCAAAUACCAGCUUGGUAAUACCAACUUUAUUUGUAACAGCAAGUGUGUAGGGGAAAGAGGAAGUGGGAGAGAACAAGCAGAGAAUGGUGAGCUCUGUGGUCAGCAGUGUCCCGUUGGUCCUUCAGUGCCCUGGUCCCCUUUGUGGUGGUGGGUCCAGCCUGGUUCACUUCCCAAGUCGCUUUUCUACACUCCCUCAUUAGCAUGAGGUGAAGGUAGGGGGGGGUCUCAUCAUGUCACAUGUUCUGAUCUUGGUUUGCUGGUCAUUGGGGGUCUGCCGUAGGGGUCAUACAAGGCAAAUAGGCCGAGGUCAAGUGUUCAGUUUGUGCCCUGCCUCGCACAGUUGGCACUUGUCUGAUGACACAGCACGGUGGGAGGUUGCUGCAAGAACAAUCAAGGCCAAAACCGGAACUUUGCUUCCUUGUUUCUGCAACCACUUUCCACACAGAGGUCAAUGUUUUCUGCAACAACUUUAACCACAGAGCGGGUGUUCAAGGCACCUACUCCAGAUGUUAUUAACCCUUUCCUUACAGAUCUGUGAUCUCUUUCACCUUGUAAACCAAACCAGUGAAGUUGUUGUCUUUGGAAGACUGGCUUCUCAUGUUCAACUUAUGAGUUUUUCUAGUUGUCCAAGCUCUAGUUUUUUUCAUAUGGAAGUAUAUGUCUGAAAAUUGCAGAAGGCAUUAUUGUAUGAGUGUUCACUGUUUGCAUUUAGGUACUUCACAAUGGUAAUGUAAAGUGUUUUAUUUUUUUUAAGGAACAAUUCGUUUUGAAAUGCAGUUUACAUAGGAAAUACAAAGAGAACCUACCAUUUCUAUUUUCCUGUUGAUUAAAAAGAAGAUAAAAAAUCCAAAUGCAUGUGUUUUCUAAUGUAGUAUGUCAGAGCAGGAGAAGGCAGUGCUUUGCUCCACCACUGGGCAGCCGCACUACCUUGGUUUCUAUAGAGGUUAGCCUAAGUAAAGACUGGAAGUUCAAAUCCAGCACGUUUUGAGGGUUAGCCUGUGCAACACCAUGGAAGAAAAUCUAGAAGUAACACAGAUAUUCCUCUGUCAUUUUGACAACUAAGUGUAGGCUGGCUGACUUAAUCCAGAAACAAGUGUCAGUACUCCUAUACUAGCAAAUAGGAUGUGCCCUAUGGCAAUCCCAUUUUCCUUCAGAUGUUCUGAACAUCUUCCAGUUUUUUGUUCAUUUGCUUUCAGCACUCUUCUAACUAGUCCGGGUAUUUUUAAAUAACUCCUCCUACUUUAUUCUACCUGGGGGACUGAACUGAGGCUGCAAAGACUAAUCUUAGUGGGAGUUAUGUUAAUGUGUGCUAUGCUGAACAAUUGCCAAUAAUGCUUUGCUUGCUAUCCACAUAUUUUAUCUUAUUGUCCUAGCCUGUCUCAGUAAGAGACACGAUAAAGUAUCCAAAGCUUGGCCUCUUUAGGUGUAUUUUUGUGGGAUCAGUUAACAUAGCACUUGCUCUUCCCAGAUGAGCAUGUUUAAAACCUUUGUUUCUGUGAGACAGGUUGCAAUUAAAACCUAUGAAUACAAAAGAAGGGCUUGGAGUUGGUGGGAGGGGAUGUGCAUUUGGGAGGGGACUUGAAUUGGGCAAGCCCAUGUUCAGCUGGCCUGGUUCUGCCUGGAAUAGGACAGUGUUGCAAUAUCUUGGGUCUCCUCUGUGAGCAGUUCUGAGCUAAAACUGUUUAUCACCGGGUUAGGAGAAAAAUUAUGAAAACAGUGUCGUCUGAUGGGGGUGCAGUCAGCUGAGGAAUAGAGUUUACUUGGGAUCUUGGAUUUAUUUCUAAAUCCUUAGGGAAGAGGUUAAUAGCAGUGACCUAGAUGCUAUAGCAUUAGGAUCCUUGGGGAAAGGGGAGUUUCUUAUUUAUUUAAGCACUAGUUAUAUGCCUGCAGAUAUUAAAUUCAAGCUCUUCUUCAUAAAACAGUCAAGGGAUGAUGCUUCUCAGUGUCCAUUGAUCAAAAAAUUACAGAAUAUAAAAAUAUUAAAUCAAACUCCAUGUAUGUGCUGUUUACUGCCACUGGGAAUUUUUCUACAGCGUGCAGAAACACUCUGGAGAAAGGACUUUGUGUUGGAGUUGAAAUAUAAUAUAUGUCUUCCCAAGCAUUCUUUCACAGCUUUCUAACUGUUUUCAGAUCUCUGAACUGUGAUGGCUGGUUCUGUACACAGUGGAACAUGUGUGAGACUUUAUUUAAACAGCCGUGUAUAUUCCACUGAUAAACUAGAAACUGAAAUAUGGACAAUACUGAUAGGAGAAACCGUUUGUCCAAUUGACUCUCUUGGCACCUAUCCAUUUUUUUCUCAUUGACUUUAAAAUAUUUUGGACCUUUCAUCUGAUGAUCUCAAAGCUUUUUGCAAACAUUAAUUAAGCCUGUUGAUGCCCCUGUGAGCUAAAUAAAUACCAUAGGUGUGGUUUAGAUGGGUAAAUGAAGAUACAGAGUAGUUUUGUGCAAGGUCGCCUGCUAAUUCAGCAGCGGAGCUGAGGGGUGGGAAGCUGUCUGCCUGACUCCCCUUUGCAAGUGCUAGGGUUAAAUCAGAUUCUCCCAGAUAAAUGCAAACAGCAACCAGACUUCUACAGAGAGAAAGACAGAUACAGAACCCUAAUUGCAAUUUGUAUUCUGACAAUGACCAGAGCUUUGCUACAAUACUAAAUUGUGCCUAGUCUUUGCAAAAACAAUUAUCUGUCUUGAGCAACUAGCCCAGUGAAAAAAUUAAAUAGUAAUAAAAAAAAGUCACGACUCAAAAUUGUAGUUCUCUGUGUUUAAUAUUUCCUGUUUUUACCUAAUAUCUCUUAAGGCAUAUAAAAUAUGUCUCUUCAUUACUUGCUCCUCUGCAUCCAAGAAGAGGCAAUCCAAUCCUUUAAAAACAUUACAUAUCAAGAAUAGGACUAGCAGGAAUAUGAAAGAGGGAUGAGGAAAUAAACAAAAAUGGAGAUAGAUCUCAGAGGACCUUAAGCUUAGUACUUGCAGUGAGUUUGUCUCUCAUCAGAACUUUUUUGGAACUACCUUGUCACCUGAAUACAGAAUGCACGUGCCUACUUUUGCUGUUCGAAAAAUGCAGAAAUCUGAUUUUCAGUUUACAGUAUGUACAAAAUUAUACAGCAUGUGAGAGCUGCUCUUGCCUUGAGCAGGGUGACUUUAUUUCUCAUGGUUUCAGACUUGUAGCCUUUGGUUUGAUUCUUCUUCCUAUUAGAAUAGUUAAUGCUGCUAGUUAAUUCAGUGAUAACUUAAUAAAUAAAUAUUUUGCUUUCUGCAUCAAUAAGAACUAACAAAGAGUGUCCUGCCUCUGCUGCUGUUUUUCUGGAGAGAUCAUUGUAGAUGCUGUGCUGCUAAACCCGCACCUUGCAGUGCAGACUGCAGAGGGAGAUCUCCAAGCAGUUACAAAUUAUCUUCUGCAGGAAGAUUCGUACUUUGUAUGCAGUGAACUGGGCCUGGAAUAAGCACCUCCAAUUGUUCUGAUACUUGCUAAAAAUGGCAAAACAUUUGGUAACAAGCAUUUUGUAGGCUGCUGCAGGGCCUUGGGGGACAAAGGUAAAUGUGUGAACGCAGCUCAGUUUACCAAGUUUUGUUCUCCAGUCAGUGAUUCUCUUGCUUUUUGGUUCUGCCUAUUCCUGGUGCAGGAAUAGGGACAUAGCUUAAGUCUGGAGCUGGGAAGUGAAAGAAAGACUUACUUCUUGAAGAACUGAUCACAGAUACAGUUCUGUCUUCAUAUAAUUUUCUUGAAAAUUUGGUUAGGGAAUUUGAUGUAAUAUUAUACACGUGCUUGUUUUAUUGUAGCUGCAUUGUGUCAUUACUUUUCAGUUUCUUCAAAAACUUGGCAAAGUACAUCAAUUUAUACGCAGUGAAAUGCAGCUAUUUCUGGUCUGGCAAUCCAACAGUAUAUCAAGUGCAGUGCAGUAAUGAUGGAAAGAUAUUAGGUCAACAACAUCCUGUGCAAACUCAGGUUGAUUUGACCUUGCACUACCUUGCUUAACUCAGAAGUGCACACGAAAAUUAUUGUGGUGGCCUUGUUUAGCCAGGAAAAAGAAUUAAUCCUAAUCAGACCCAGAAAGUGUGUGGUAGGAAUAAUCUUGCAGAGUGUAGUAAAAGGAAUAAAGAUUUUAAUGUAUUUUUGACCAACUCCAGUUUGUAAGCUAGAAUUGAAUAUCUAACUUUUUUUUUUAACAUGACCAUAUAAUCUAAUUUAAAAAAUUCGCAUUUGAAGUUCUAAUUAUCUGCACAAAUAUCUGUGAAAUAUGUCUAAUGUUUAUUGUCCAUAUCUCAUUUAAGAACAUUUUUUUUUUCUUAAGUGCAUGUUUAAUCAACUGUACAUUAAAGAAAAAUCUCUAUCAA